ACGGUAGUCUUCGUAGGUGUAGCCUGCGGAGGAUCAUUA
rnacentral:rRNA from 1 species